rnacentral:tRNA from 1 species
GUAGCUCACCGGUAGAACACUUGUCUACCAAGCAGGAGUUCCUGGGUUCAAUCCCCAGC